GGCCCUAUCGUCUAAUGGUUAGGACGGCUUUCUUUCAAGAAGCAAAUAGGAGUUCGAUUCUCCUUGGGGCUGCCA
rnacentral:tRNA from 1 species